rnacentral:rRNA from 1 species
GCAGUAGCCGCGGUAAUACGAAGGGGGCUAGCGUUGUUCGGAUUCACUGGGCGUAAAGGGCGCGUAGGCGGACUGAUAAGUCAGGGGUGAAAUCCCAAGGCUCAACCUUGGAACUGCCUUUGAUACUGUUUGUCUUGAGUUCGAGAGAGGUAAGUGGAACUGCGAGUGUAGAGGUGAAAUUCGUAGAUAUUCGGAAGAACACCAGUGGCGAAGGCGACACACUGGCCCAUUACUGACGCUGAGGCUCGAAAGCGUGGGGAGCAAACAGGAUUAGAGACCCCCGUAGUCCCUGUCUCUUAUAC